rnacentral:rRNA from 1 species
UACGUAGGGUGCAAGCGUUGUCCGGAAUUAUUGGGCGUAAAGAGCUCGUAGGCGGUUUGUCGCGUCUGCUGUGAAAACCCGAGGCUCAACCUCGGGCCUGCAGUGGGUACGGGCAGACUAGAGUGCGGUAGGGGAGAAUGGAAUUCCUGGUGUAGCGGUGGAAUGCGCAGAUAUCAGGAGGAACACCGAUGGCGAAGGCAGGUCACUGGGCCGCAACUGACGCCGAGGAGCGAAAGCAUGGGGAGCGAACAGG